CUUCUUCUUCGUCGUCGUCGUUGUUGUGGUUGUGGUUGUGGUCAUGUCGUCGUCCAUGAUGUCUUCGUCGUCUCGCUCAU
rnacentral:ribozyme from 1 species